rnacentral:rRNA from 1 species
AGCAGGGCUAAUACUUUUCUGACUUAAAAAGUUAGAAUCAUCUCAGAAGCUAAGCAGAGUUAGGCUGGUUAGUACUUGGAUGGGAGACCACCUAGGAAUACCAGGUGCUGUAA